AUCAAAAUGCACUUCAUUCAUUCUUGUCCACCCGUUGCCCAGCCCAGACUGCUUAGGCCCACAUGUUGAAGGCCCACCUAUGCCGAUCUCCUGGAACUCCGGCAUCCUCGCCAGUAGCCGCCGCUCCCACCGUCCAACGAAAGGAAGCGGGCGGCCGGCGCUCGGCGGCGCUCGGCAGGCAUGGCGAUCGGAUGGGAUGGGAUCGGAUCGGCGCAGGGCCAAGGCCCGAGGGUCGCAUCCUGCGACUCCUGUGAGUUCGUGGGCUAUGCUCGCUCGCUCUUCUCCUGAGAGAGAAAGAAUAGCAUUGCCUAAACGCACCAAACAGGCGAAGAACAAUAAGCUGAUGGAAUGUUGACCUACGCGUUUGCUACUGCUGCCUCUCACUGGCUUAGUGCUAUGCUUAGGUAUGGUUUGUAAAUUCGAUCUAUUAUUUGCUUUCAGCAUGAUGUGUUAGACUCACAUUGUUUGACGGAAAUACUUGCACUUAAAAAGUAUAUUUAUCCAUACACUUGGCCACUUGAGACACA